rnacentral:lncRNA from 1 species
CCCACCAAAACUCAAAACAGCCGUUGGAUUUGGAUCGCUCAUAACAUACUCUCGAAUCACAUCCCCAACUUUCCUCCCCACCGCCACAGCCGGCAACAAGUGACUGUCCGCCACCAAUUCUUCCCCACUCUCCGCCGUAUUGGCCAAUAUCAUCCCAACCCCACCUGCAUCCCUCACGACCGCACCCUUUUCGACACGUGGAUUAAUCCCCCUAUCACAAAUCACCACCUUACCACGGACUAACUGCGGUUCCAGUGAGCCGGGCAUACACAAAUUGCAUGUGCUAUUGCUUCCCUUCUUAUAAACCAAACCCACCGGUUUUUUCCCCAUUCCUGCUCCGCUAUACAAAGAAACACCAGCGAACCGUUUCUU